AGAGUUUGAUCCUGGCUCAGGAUGAACGCUAGCUACAGGCUUAACACAUGCAAGUCGAGGGGCAGCGGGAAGUCAGCUUGCUGACUUUGCCGGCGACCGGCGCACGGGUGAGUAACACGUAUCCAACCUCCCGCAUACUCGGGAAUAGCCUUUCGAAAGAAAGAUUAAUGCCCGAUGGUUUCAAGGGAUUGCAUGGUAUCUUGAAUAAAGAUUCAUCGGUAUGCGAUGGGGAUGCGUUCCAUUAGGCAGUUGGCGGGGUAACGGCCCACCAAACCGACGAUGGAUAGGGGUUCUGAGAGGAAGGUCCCCCACAUUGGAACUGAGACACGGUCCAAACUCCUACGGGAGGCAGCAGUGAGGAAUAUUGGUCAAUGGGCGAGAGCCUGAACCAGCCAAGUAGCGUGAAGGAUGACUGCCCUACGGGUUGUAAACUUCUUUUAUAAGGGAAUAAAGUUCUCUACGUGUAGAGUUUUGUAUGUACCUUAUGAAUAAGCAUCGGCUAACUCCGUGCCAGCAGCCGCGGUAAUACGGAGGAUGCGAGCGUUAUCCGGAUUUAUUGGGUUUAAAGGGAGCGUAGACGGCGGUUUAAGUCAGCUGUGAAAUGGUGCGGCUCAACCGUAGCACUGCAGUUGAAACUGGACGGCUUGAGUGCAGUUGAGGCAGGCGGAAUUCGUGGUGUAGCGGUGAAAUGCUUAGAUAUCACGAAGAACCCCGAUUGCGAAGGCAGCCUGCUAAGCUGCAACUGACGUUGAGGCUCGAAAGUGUGGGUAUCAAACAGGAUUAGAUACCCUGGUAGUCCACACGGUAAACGAUGGAUACUCGCUGUUGGCGAUAUACUGUCAGCGGCCAAGUGAAAACGUUAAGUAUCCCACCUGGGGAGUACGCCGGCAACGGUGAAACUCAAAGGAAUUGACGGGGGCCCGCACAAGCGGAGGAACAUGUGGUUUAAUUCGAUGAUACGCGAGGAACCUUACCCGGGCUUGAA
rnacentral:rRNA from 1 species